rnacentral:rRNA from 1 species
CCCAUCCCCUCCUCCCCAUUGAAUGUGCCCAAUCUCAUCUGAUCUCAGAAGCUAAGCAGGGUCGGGCCUGGUUAGUACUUGGUUUGGAGAAGGGA